rnacentral:rRNA from 1 species
GACGAACCGUGCGAACGUUAUUCGGAAUCACUGGGCUUAAAGCGCGUGUAGGCGGGAGGGCACGUCCGUCGCUGAAAUCCCCCGGCUCAACCGGGGAACGGGCGCGGAUACGACCUUCCUGGAGGGGCGUAGGGGGACCUGGAACUUCCGGUGGAGCGGUGAAAUGCGCAGAUAUCAGGAGGAACACCGAUGGCGAAGGCAGGUCUCUGGGCCACUACUGACGCUGAGGAGCGAAAGCGUGGGGAGCAAACAGG